GUGAAAAGGAGAGGAUUAGAAUUUUUUUUUUUUUUUGAUGAUUCUAGUAACCUUGUCAAAAGAUAGGUUACAGCAAGCCCUUACACCAUUGUUCUACACCAUGCGACUUCGAGGUUUUAGAGGCUUUGGAGAAGUCAAAAGAAUACCUUUAGCUUCAGACAAAAAAAAAUACUAUUCUCAGGGGAGGAGGUGCUACCAUGCUUGGACCACCAAAAGCAAGGUAUUGGUACCUGCUUAGAUCUUAACCGGCUGGAGUUGGCUAUAUUGGCAUGUUGCUUAUGUAUCCAUCUAGUGGAAUCUCGUGCUAGCACCCCUUAAUCUCAUCUUGAAACCAAUCAUUACUAGAACUACUUCUUUGGUUGACAGGCUGCAGAUGAGAAACUUCAUCUGGCCUUUUUUUCUUUUCUUUCCAUAUUAAUAGAGCUAGUGCCUAGCAGUAUCUAAAAAUCUUCAGUUACCAGAAAAGCAGGUCCAUUAACCUUCCUGCUCGAGAUAAAUCCGAUGCAAAUGGUGGAACUAUCCCCAUAUCCAUAGACACUGUCAGAGGAAAUAGAAAGAAAGAGGAGAAAUUUGUAGCAAGGUGCAUGCCAGAGGUUCAGGGUUUCAGUUCAACUUCAAAGAGUGUCGCUCCUCAUCUGACUGGAAAUCUCAGUACAGAAAGCAAAAAGGUCUACUUCUUUCAUGACAAAUUAAUUCCUUUAACGUUGAGGGAUUUCUAGUUGGACAAAAUAAUUACAUUAUGGCACUACUGCCUCAGUGGAGAUUAGAUGACCCUCAGGUGAAAGGGUGAUAUGUAUUCCUUCCCCUGCACGCCAUUCUUCCACCAAUAUUCUGGCAUAAUGAGCACCCUGAUGUUGACCAAGCAGCUCUUUUUGCACUAUGCAAUAUAUAACAUUAUGAUGGUGCUUUAAUACCAAACCAUUCUAUCCAUAGCUAGAUAUUAUUACUUGAAAGAUGAAUGCUACAGCGCUGGAACAUUUAUUACCAAACAUUUUCUCUGCAUGGCUUGUUUGCCACGUCGCUCUAGGGGAUUGGUGCUUUGUACCAACCCCUCUUAAGAAUUUUAGGGAUCCCAUUAGUCACACAAAUCUCCUUGAGACAUGUGGGAAGCCAGAUGUACAGGGGUUUGGACCCCUUUAUUUGUCACUCUUCUUGAAGACAAGGAAUUAAGAAGUUGUGGACCUGCAAUCGCAAGGUUUUUUCAUGAUAUCAAACGACACAGUGAGUGGAUUUGAUCCCUGUAUAUGGUGGAAGCUCCAACUCAUGAGUCAAAAGUUAUAUGGGUAUUAGCCUCCUACAUACCAAGUAUCUCUCCACUAUGGAAUAUCCCCAGACAUCAAAGCUGGGCAUCUGAACUCCCCUAUAUUUCUACUGCAUCCUUUUCUAAUGUCAGGCUUGAAGGGGGGAUUCACUCUAAUGCUGAAUUCUGCAGAUGGUCCCCACUCAGACAGGAAAUCUGUCGGUUAAUGGAUGGAAGGCCAGGGUAUUCAAAUCUGCAUGUGUGAUGCUUCUAGAGUCCAAUAUUUUCGACUUGGAAUGAUUUCUUCUAGUUUUGGUACAGGCAAAUGAUGCCCUGAUGACAGUGACGUAGGUGUUUCUCUGCCCAAUUUGCUUGAAGGCAUUUGAGUCCUUCCAAUGAAAUAACCAGCAAGCAUAAAAGCGAUUCCAUGGGAAAUAUCUAACAUGUGAAUAGAUAGUCCUCUGUCGGUGCUAUGAAUGUUAUAUACUUAUUGAGGCAGCAGAUGUCGAUGGCAAUUUAGACUCUGUUGUCCCAUUUGUAUCUUAGUGGCAGCACACUAUUAUUUGUCGUGAAGAGAUCAUUUUCUA